UAAUUUGAGAGUUUGAUCUUGGCUCAGGAUGAACGCUGGCGGCGUGCUUAACACAUGCAAGUCGAGCGUAGUUUAGAUAGGUGCUUGCACCUAGUUAAACUAAGCGGCGGACGGGUGAGUAACGCGUGGGUAACCUGCCUUAUACACAGGAAUAACAAUGAGAAAUCAUUGCUAAUGCCGGAUAAGCCGGAACUGC
rnacentral:rRNA from 1 species